ACUUGUCCAGAGCCUAGGACUCACAAAGGGGGCGUCCGAUCGCGGUGGUCGACGGUAGCGUCGACGCCUCGUCCAUCCAUCCUUCUCGCAGUGGCCCUCUCGCUUACAAAAAGGAGAAAAUAGCUAGGGUUUUUGACAGUCGUCCAAAUCGUUCAAUUAGAAGACGAGAAGCAUGCCGAUUAAGAAUUUUAGGAAGAGAACCCUAGAACAUGAUCCCCGUCCUGAUGAUACCGAGGAAGACGAGGAGGAGCGCAGAUUGGUCUUGGAGGAGGUGAAGCUGCUCCAGAAGCAGCGGGAGAGGAAGCCUGGCAUCCCCGCGCUUCCUACCGUCCCCCAGCACUCCCCCACCGGCCCUGGCGGGGCCUUUCGCAGGUCCUCCUCCUCUAGCGGCGCCGCAGGCGUGGGCGACAAGGGCGACGGAGAUGGCGGCAAGGAGGACCUCGUCCUGCAGGACACCUUCGCCCAGGAGACAGCUGUCACUAUCGAGGAUCCCAACAUGUUGAAGUAUGUGGAGCAAGAAUUGGCAAAAAGGCGCGGCAAGAAGAUUGACUCCAGUGAGAAGGAGGAGAAGGACCCGAUGGAUGAAUUGUAUGUUGUGCCUGAACAUCUUAAGGUGAAGAAGAGGAACUCGGAAGAAAGUUCUACUCAGUGGACCACAGGGAUUGCUGAAGUGCAACUACCCAUCGAAUACAAGCUACGGAAUAUUGAAGAGACUGAGGCUGCCAAAAAGCUGUUGCAAGAGAAGAGGUUUGUUGGUAAAACUAAAUCAGAAUUGAAUAUUCCUUCAAGUUACAGUGCAGAUUAUUUCCAACGCGGUCGAGAUUAUGCUGAAAAACUUCGGAGAGAGCAUCCAGAGUUGUACAAAAUCCGAGGUGCCCAAGUGAGUGAUAUGGGUGGGAAGUCAACAGAAACUAAUAACUCGGAUGUUGCAGGACGGAGGCAAGCUGCCACGGAUGAGUUCAUGCUUGAGCGCUUUCGCAAACGAGAAAGAAAUCGUGUUAUGCGCAGAUAGUACUAGAUAAGGAUCUUUUUGGAAGCUAUUGAUGUGCAUUUCAUUUUAGUGAAUAAUGGAAGCGACAAUAUGGUAAAGAAGCUGCAAAGGGAGCUUUCUUCACCAACGGAGAAAUUCUGCAUCAGGAGAGCUCAAGAUUUGUGAUGAAACAAAAUUAAAACUGGCCUUCUUCUUGAACUCAGGUGUUGUAUGACCAAGUUUGUCAGGGAAACAUGGCUAGCAGACUCCUUUGCAGGGAAAUUAGAUGCGAGCAAUGGUGCUGGUGCUUUUGAUGAGGGUGUUGGUUGUGCAUUGCUUAAGGUAAGAUUAACAUGUGUUGGCUGAACGAGUGUGGAACUGCUACUUGGAAAAUACUCAAAAUACCAUUACCAGCAAGGUGUGAUGAAUGUAUAAAAAACCGGAGUUAUUGCUGUAUGUUUCUGAAACUGAAUGAAAAUUACUGCAAUCAAUAACUUGUCGGGCAGGAAACAUUAGAUUUCAUUGUUCA